AACAGACACAUCAAAGGCCAGUGCAAAUACUUAAUAUGGGGAGAACAUUAGUGUUAGGCCAUAGACAAACACACUAUCCAGGUUAUACUUCCACACUCCCUUCCCACAGGGGGCAGCAGCAACCUUGGCCAAAUGCUGAGCCUGUUGAUAAGCACACCAAGUGCUGCCAAUUAAGGUGAUCGUCAGUCAGUCUCCCACAGGGAAAGCCGUGAGGUUGCUGGGUUUGUUUGGUGGCCAUGAGGUCUUUAGUUUGGGCUUGCCUUUGGUAUUUUUCCUUUUUGUACAUAUUUCUGUUUCGUCACCAUCUGAACAAAUUAUAAUCCACUUGGACUGGCCAACACGGAGCUGGCCCUGAACUCGACUUUGCAGAUGCUACCCACCCCUUGUCUGCAACCCUUCUAAAGUACUGUACCCUGCGCACAACCCAUGUGGAAUUCUGGGUCUUUGGCGGUGUUUGGAUCUGCGGUCAAAAUGGCGAGUUCAUCUCAGCUUAUGCUGCCCUUCAGUCCCUUGACUUUUUGGCCCUGAAGGAGACAUGGAUCACUCCAGAGAGAGCAGCUGGAGUGGCAGUGUUUUCUUCAUCUGACUGUUUUCUCUCAUAGUCCGAGAGCAUCUGGUCUUCUACCCUCAACACUAUAGUCCUACAGUAACCACAAUGUAUGCUCGCCCUGGGCGACGCUGGAUGACCCUCAGUACUGUAUCUGAUUUAUUUUGUUUACCCUUGAAUUUUGAAUAGGCUCGUUCAUAUUUCCUUAAUCUGGUGCUUACCUGUUUACACAAAUGUAAGCACCACAAUUGUAAUGCAAAGAUGAAUGAAAGUAAAAUAAAUACAAAAAUCAAGCAGAGUACUGGCAAGAUUCCUCCAUGGUGGUUGCUUUAGUUUCAGGCCCUGCUUAGCCUAAAUGCGGAGACUAUUCUUCUCUCUGCUGAAAUAAAUGAUCGUCCUUCAAGAUGUGA